rnacentral:rRNA from 1 species
GACGAACGCUGGCGGCGUGCUUAACACAUGCAAGUCGAACGGAAAGGCCCUGCUUUUGUGGGGUGCUCGAGUGGCGAACGGGUGAGUAACACGUGAGUAACCUGCCCUUGACUUUGGGAUACUUCAGGAAACUGGGGCUAAUACCGGAUAGGAGCUCCUGCUGCAUGGUGGGGGUUGGAAAGUUUCGGCGGUUGGGGAUGGACUCGCGGCUUAUCAGCUUGUUGGUGGGGUAGUGGCUUACCAAGGCUUUGACGGGUAGCCGGCCUGAGAGGGUGACCGGCCACAUUGGGACUGAGAUACGGCCCAGACUCCUACGGGAGGCAGCAGUGGGGAAUAUUGCACAAUGGGCGGAAGCCUGAUGCAGCAACGCCGCGUGCGAGAUGACGGCCUUCGGGUUGUAAACCGCUUUCGCCUGUGACGAAGCGUGAGUGACGGUAAUGGGUAAAGAAGCACCGGCUAACUACGUG